rnacentral:lncRNA from 1 species
UUUUACUGUUAAUUUAGGAAUACCCUGUUGCUGAAAGAUAACUGUUGGACAUGCACAGAUGUGUACGAUCCUAAACACUGUGCUUACAAAUAAUUUAUUCUUAUUUCAUACAUUUGUUUUUCAGCAAAAAUGCAUAGUCAUAUUAUUUACACAGAAUUUCAUAUUCAAGACUGUAGGGAACAAAUGUCUCAGGAAACCAAAAUCAUAGCAAAUCAUACAACAGAAAUGUGUCACAUUUUUUUUUCAGCUACAUGCACAGAACUGGCCAAAGUGAUACCUAUUUCUAUAGAUUAUUUUAUCACAUAAUGGAGAAUUAAGAUUAAGUAACGCUUUUCUGUUAGAAUACACUAUUGAUUUGAAACCACAUGUUAGUCCAUGCCUGGAAGCUCACGUAUCCUGAGAAUGCCUCUCUUGCUAGCUAAAUACAGUUCUUUAGGGUGUAGGUAAGGACUGGAGUAAGGGUAGCCUAAAAAGAAUGAAUCUGGCAAGCAAUGGGAAAAAUUUCUUUGUGCGCGCAUCAUUUUUACUCCCUUCUUUCUCCGUCAUCACCCUUAAAUGAACUUAAAAACAAAAACAAAAAACAGACACAUGAAGGUCUCUAUUUGAUCACUGUUAACUCUUCCCUCUGCCUCUGACCUGAGGAAAAAAUGAGUAUGCCCCUUCAAGUAUAAUGCCCUUUACUGCAAAAGGGGACCUGCUGGUUGUACAUUCUUGCAAAUCCAAGAACAGUCACCGUAUUUAAAACCUUUGUUUGGAAAUGGGUGAACCUCAUAAGGCAGAUGGUUGGAGAAGGCCUAAAUACACAUGGAAUCCUUUUAGAAAUCUUUUCUCUUCAAGCUGGAUAUGUGGAAAGUGAAGUUUCAAGGGUAGUGAAAAUGGCCUGGGAGAUGGCUGAAAUGAAGAGAGUUCAGAGCGACCACAUGGUCUAUACAAAUUAAAAAAAAAAAAAAAAAAAAAAAAAAAAAAAAAAAGCAGCCACAGAAUCCUCCCCCAGCCCUGAAACACAGAAAGCCUUUUUCUGGUCCAUAUAGUGAUGGCAUGGGGCUUAUUCUUCUUUCUAUUCUGAAGAAACAAGGGACAGAGUUCCAGGGCUGUACAUUUUAUUGGCUACGUUAUUCACCAUGCUUAUAAACUCAUCAAAGUGAAAGGUGCCUCACCUCUUUAUUGCCUUGGUACUCAGUUGAUUGGCGAGAAUAAUUUUGUUCAUAGCCUCCAGAAAAGAAAACUAGCCUGUUUGAAAAGUAGACCUUCUGUGCUAGGUUUUGCUGGAAGAGGGAAUUUAAUAAAGUUUCUAACCAGAAUUUUUAAAAAGACUUUUAAAUUUAGCCAUGAGACACACCUAAAACCUAUCUCAUGUGUUUUCUUCUUUUUUAAAAAAUGAUUUGUAUCCUUCUUUAAACUAUACAUUAUUUACAUUUUUAAAGACCUACUAGGUCUUUAUCAUUUGAGUAAGAGCUCAAGGUGAUUAAACUCACCGGAUAAAGAUGAGUCUUUCCAAAAAGCUCUGGUUCUCACUUAUGUGCUAAGGCCUGUUUUUACAAACAAAUGUCUAUUAGAAACUUUACAAAUAUAAAAUUAAAAUACUUUUUUAAAAAAUUUUCCCAGGAAUUUUAUUUUUUGCAUCCAGCAUAUUAAAAACAGAUUAUGCUUUCCAACUAGAGAUGGAACUAAGAAGAAAUGAAAUUGUGUCCCCAUGCUUUAUCUAGAAACAAGAGUUUAUUUACACAGUGUCCUUCUUCAAUAUCAUGGUGUACUGGGAGAAGCAGGGCCAUCUUUACAGCACGGCCAAAUGACCACCUGAAGACCCCCCAUUCUGCCUUGAGUGCUUAUUGCGUAUUUUGGGUGGAGGUAUAAGGCAUGAGGGAAAGGUGGCCUGUCACUUUUACACAUUGGAGAAUAAUUUUGCACAUUCAAGAAAUUUUCCUUGAGAAAUGCCAUGUUUGGAAUAGCUUCCAGAGAUUGAUUGAGAACAAAAGCAUUAAAGCAAGUGCAUUACAUUUAGAAGCACAAUACAUUGGGAAACAUUCUCAAAAGCUCAAAGAGCAGGCUGUUUUUCCACUGAGCUAAAUAGUAAAUAAGUGUGCAUACUGUUGCAUAUAGGUAUAUGUUCAGAGCUUUCAAAAGUCACAUCCUGCCACAAUUAACAGCUAAAUGAGCAUUCUUGGCCCCUGACCUAUAAAUAAACACUCUAAUUCUGCAACUUGCUCACAGAUUCUUAAGGAGCCACUCUAGAACAAAAAUGCCUACAAACUGGUUAGAAAUCUGCAAACCAGAAAUGCAAUACAGUUAUCCUUUUUUAAAUGACAACAACAGAAAUUUAUAUUAGCUUUUGGAAGAGUGACUAAGAAGAACUGACAUCCAUUUUCACAAUUAAGAAAUAAUUAUUCACAAUACCGAAGAAGCCAAAUCUUCAAUAAGAAAACGUGUGGCCUCUCACAAAAGAACACAGUAGUGCUCAGCUCCAACCACUGAAUGCUUCCUUUUUCAGUUUGUCUAGGCUUGUUCGCUUUUUGUCAGGUGAUAUAUGUCAGAGAAUAUUGACAAUCCUUCAAGAAAAUGAUUCAAAAGGUGAUGUACAAUUGGCUGGUGCUAUCCCGUAAUGCCUUUUUGCCUCUGUCCUAAUUUUAUGGAAACAAAGUAAGGGCUUUAAGCCAGGAGAUAAAUGUACCACUCAAAAUAUACCUGGACACUCGUGCUCAGGUCAAACGCUACAAGAUGUGGUUAAGCUGACAAACAGAAUUCCUUGCCUGUCUACUCGAACACUAACACCCUGGGAGUUCACAUGCUUUUCUAAGGACAAAAUUUAAAACUCAGGCUGACUGCACAGUUGAACUUGCUGCCCCAUUCUGACUGUUUGACUCUAAUCCUCUUUGUUCUCCCCUUCCCAUGCAUUCUUCCUAUCUUUUUUACCUCUGACACUUUUUAAUGAUUUCCUCCAGAUUAAUGUUUUCUAAGACAUGUUUCAUAAGUUACAACACAAAGAUCCUAAAAGGCUAGAGAGCAUUAGUUAAUCUCAGUUAAUUUUGGAGAUCUAGCCAUUUACCUUCUUAUGUAUGUGAUUGGUUUGUUUGUUUGUUUUAUUACACUAUAAAAUUCAGACACUUAAAGACAUCUCAAUUUAGGCACUUUGGAUGAUCCACUCUUCAUAAUAGUAUGAAUACUAUCAAUCUUCCAAUAGUUAUCGUUAUUAGUGUUUUCAUAAUAUUAGUGAUAAGUUUUUCAAUUCUGUACAUAUGCCGACUAUCCCCUCACUUGGAUUGUACAUUACAUUUUCAAGUUAUUUUUAACAAUAGGCCUAGGAGCACACAGAAAAAGAAAAAAGAAAGAAAUUGAUUGCUGAGGAAGUCAGCAUGUGAAUAGAAAUAAGAUUCUAUGGAUUGCACUUAUGCUAGCAAAAAAAGAGACCCAAACUCAGGGACUUACGGCAUUCUACCUACAGCCAAGGUCAGAGUUUGGUUCCUGGCCAGAGAGACUUUCUGGGGCUUCUCUCUUCCACCAGAAGACAAAAGGGUAAUGGCUGUAAUAAUACGGAUGGGUCCUUGCCCAAUGUCUUACACACAGUAGGUGCUCAAAGAUCAUGAAAGGUAUGAUAUGAGUGCAUGAAUGAACAGCUCAAAGAUUGCUGACAGAGUGAAGUCAGCAGUGGUAAACUUCAACAGUUGAAGAACAAGAUGGUAACAACCAUUUUAAGUGGCUGAUAACAUUUUGUUUGAGAUAUUUUGAUCUAAUUUCAAAGACAGCCCUAUCUCACUUUGCUCAAUUUUAAAGUUAGUCAAUUAAGGGACUGUAUCUAUAUCUCUUUUUCCAAUUAGUGUCUGUGUGCUUGGCCAGGCAUCAUAGCCAUGCAAACUAGUAAACACAGUUGAGCAGACAAUGGUCUCCGCAUUCUAAUGCCAGUUUGAAAACUUAAUCCUGUCACCUUGGACCAACUAUAAAGCUUUGAAAUGGAGAUAACUCCCACCAUACCUGUCUCCUAUUAUAGCUUUGUGCAGAUUAACUAAUUAAAGUUAUGAAGAGAUUUAAAGAUAAAAAUUCCUGUUUAUUAUUGCUGUUAGUCCUCAGAGUUGGCACCAAAUCAGGAAAAAAUGAUAUAAAUCACCUCUGUCCCAAAAUUUUGCAUUCUUAGAAAUGAUUCCUAUGAAGUAUCACUAUAAAUUAGGCUAAAUUGUUUUUUGACUGCAAGCACUUACAAGCUGGAUUUAUGAAUGGAAACAUAUGAAGGCCACUCUGUCCAGCUCUGUAGCCCCAUACUUUCUCCCUGGGCUAUUUAUAGAAAGUGUAUGGCUAGUGGAAAAGUUCACAUUUAUUUUUACAAGCCAGUCAUGACAUGACCGAGGAACUCAUUUCCUCUCUCUGGGAAGGUCAUCCUCUUCACCUGAGCUGCAAGAACGGCAGGGAAGAAAGGAACCCCAUUAGCCAACUAAGUCAGUCUGAGUCAGCCCCAGAGACCAACCCACGGGGUGACAGGCACCGAAGUCAAACACCUUCAUUUUCCAGGCAUGACUCUAUGGCGCCGCUCCUUGAGAUGUCAUCCAGAUCAUGACUAACAAGUAAAAAUGAAACAUAUUACAUAAUAUGCUUCAAAAUUCUACUGCCAAAAUAGGUUGUACAUAGAUAAUGGACUGAAUUCUUAUUUAUAAUUUGUCCUACAUUUCAAACAGCUGAACACAAUAAAGUAAAACUGAAUUUUAAUGUGGCAAAAUGGAAAGUGUGAAAAAUAUUUUAAAAUAUAUAUUGUUCUGAUUGCCACAUUACCUUGAAAUGUGUAAUAAACCUGGAUAGUUCCGUGCAAAUGGGGAGAUUCAAAGUAAAUAUUCACUUCUAAAACAUCAAGAAAUUUAAUAAAUUCAGCAAAUAAACUGUAUAGUUUAACAAAUCAUCCCUGGCUUUGACUAGUGUAUAUGGUACCUAUUUGCAAACAUGAAGUGAAGCCAAACCAGUUUUCAACUAGAAUGUCCUCUUGUCAUUAUUAUAUGUGGUCUACAAAAUCUAAGAUGGAAUAGGAAAGAACAGUGGACGAAGGAAAAGGCAAAGGGAAGAGGAAAGUGAAUCCUCAUUCUCUCUGGGACAUACUGGGUGCUGAAACCUGUGUGGCAAAAAGUGUGUCAUCUCACUGUACUCAUGCAGCAUAAUCACCUGAAAAAUGAUAUGGGUAUAAUUUUAUCCUUAAGUGGCCUCUCCUUAAGGUCAAAGACAAAGGACAAGAAGAGAAUUCUGUCUGUGGACCUGGAAGAACAACAAAAAAUUAAAAUGACAAAUUUGGUGUUUUAGUUAUUGUUCUCAAACUCAUUAAUCCUUGCUAGAAGUCUUCCUCCUGAAAGUUCCUUCUGAAAUUGAGGUCCCAUUUUACAAAGAAACUACAUAAUACGCUUCACCCUGUUUCUCUAGCUUCCAAACCAAUGUUCUUUGGGGCUCUAGAAAAAACAACAAUGACAUGCAAAUAAAUUUGCAUGUGGAAAUAUCCUGAUUUCCACAGUUGUCCUUGAAUGCAUCUAUUGAAUUAAGUUACAGCUGAGGAAUAACAUCUGUUGUAAGUACAAAUUAGCCUCUGUAACCUAACAGGAAUCUCCUUGCACUUCACAAAGGAUGAGACACUGACACUCGUCAACAACUGUGCAAAGUGUAUUUACAAUCUCAGUAAGAGAUUCUAAAUUAAAUAUAGACA